GGCAUAUGGAGGUUCCCAGGCUAGGGGUCCAAUUGGAGCUACAGCUGCCGGCCUACACCACAGCUACAGCAAUGCAGGAUCGGAGCCCUGUCUGCGACCUAUACCACCGCUCAUGGCAACACCGGAUCCUUAACCCACUGACCACGGCCAAGGAUUGAACCCUCAACCUCAUGGAUCCGACUUGGGUUCGUUAACCACUGAGCCCCGAAGGGAACUCCCAAUAAUUAACUUUUUGUGUUUCAAUUUUCUUACUAGCAGAGAGGGGAACGACAAAUAAAUCAGACUCCUGCAGAGGUUUUAGCAUUAAAUGGGAGGAGGCAUUUAAAGGGUUUGGCUCUUAGCAAAUGUUCACGAUUCUUCCUCCUCCUCUACUACUUACAUUUUAGGAUGGUGACUUAUUCAAUAGGAUGAUAUGCCAAAGAUCCAGAGGUCGACAGAAGUACAGAAUGAAGAAUCAGCCAUAGGCUCACUAUCAGAUCUCAUUUCAGUUGGGAAAUUUCAGUUGUGAUUCUGUGUUCCCAUCAGUAAAGUGGGCUCAAGACUGGGACUUUGUGAUAAUAAAUGGAAGCCUCCCAGCCUUUUCCACUGUGGUGCCACAGGCCUUUCUUGAUUUCCAGGCCCCGCCAAAUUUGCCAACCACUUGCCUAACCAAAUACAAACACACACACAAUGGAAAUUGAUUCAGAACUCAGAGUUAGAAAGGAGGGUCGGUGACACGCCCUCUCCAUCUCCUUGCUGAGUUUAAGGCACUUUCCAAUCUCCAGAGGACAGAUUCUGGUCUCUUCUUUUUGGGUGAAAGCCUGGAGAGUGGGGGUAUGAUUUCCUGACAUGAAUUUACACUGCAGGAAAGCUGUGUGAUCUAUUGCAGCAGGAUUUUCCCACUGUCUCAACGAGUAACUUGGAGGCAGUAACUGGAAAGGGCCCUAUGCAGAGGGGAUGGCCCACCCUCUCCCACCAAUGUGGCUCAGGUCCCUGCCUUCCCAAAACAAAGAGACUGGGCGGUUUUCAGGCAGGCCCCACACUGUUGGUGUGUGUGGUUCAGCCCCCUUCAGGGCGGCUGAUUUGUGAAUGCGCUGAACUCCAGUGCACCAGGCCACCUAACCACAGAGAGCAGUGUUUUGUUUCUCUACCGGAUACACCUGCCCAAAAAGCAGCGUUCACUCCUGCUGCAGGCUUGGGUUUGUUUGACUUUUGAAAGAUUGCACCCUCCAGAUAAACCAGAGGGUACAACUGUGUGCACUGAGAACCCGCGGAGGCUGAAAAGGAGUGAAAUUGAUUUUUUUCUUUUCUUUGGGGGGCAAGGGACAAUUGUAUAAAAUUGUUUUUCCAUCCAAAGGAGCAUUCUCCACUUUCCUGGUAGUCAUUAUUUCCCAAAGCAUACCACCAGAAGGGUUUUAGGAAUGGGCAGACACAGCGUUAAAGAGCACUGAGUCACAGACCGAGAAACUUAGUCCCUUUUUAAUUUUUUUUCAAUCUUUCUGGUUUUGUCAGGAAAAAAUAUAUAUCUUCGUGGAGUUGCAUCGUGGCGCAGCAGAAAUGAAUCAACUAGAAACCACGAGGUUUCGGGAUGGAUCCCUGGCUUCGCUCAGUGGGUUAAGGAUCCAGUGUUGCUGUGAGUUGUGGUGUAGGUCACAGACGUGGCUUGGAUCUGGCAUUGCUGUGGCUGUGGCAUAGGCCUGCAGCUGUAGCUCCGAUUGGACCCCUAGCCUGGGAACCUCCAUAUGCCAAGGGUGCGACCCUAAAAAAGAAAAAAAAAAGUCUUCAUUUGAAGCUAGUAUUUCUUUAAUAUCUAACACUUGCUCAUCUCCCUUUAAACACACACACACACACACACACACACACACACACAGAGUACAGACCUCAGAUUUGAAGUCUUUUGUUAGCUGCAAUAGCUACUUAAUUGUUAUAAUGUGGUCUGGAUAAAAUUUGAUAAUACUGUUUUGUUUUUGCUGUGAUAAUUUUUAGGAUGAUCUUUAAUUUAUGGCAGGGGAUAGCAGUUUCCCAUUGAUUUUAGGGCUAUUAUGUUUCCUUUUCAAAGAAAUAUAUUCAGGUUUUAAGAAUCAGUUAAAGAAAAAUAUUAAGUAAACAAUUGUACAUGUGCCAUUCAUCAAUAAGUCAUGGGGAUGCUCUGUGUGUGUCUGGGUGUGGUAGAAACUGGGAAGGGAGUGCACAAACAUCUGACACAUGGGCAAUGGGGCCUUGGAGUCGGACAAACCAGGGUUUGAAUCACUCUGUACCACCUACUACAUGUAUAACCUUGAGCAACUACUUAAUUUAGCUCCACAUCUGUAAAAUCAGGAGCAUGGCAGGUCAUUACUCACCUUGGAUUUUAUGAAGACACGCCACGUAAAGCUGUAAUGCAUGGUCCUCCAACACACUCAAGAAAGUCAGCUGUCAUCACCGCCAGGAAACUGCUUGUGUAAGCACAGUGCCUGGCACAUAACACACACACAGUGAAGUGUAACUGCUCCUGUAAUUGCUGUCUGUAUCAUCAGUGUCACCUAUUAGUUUGGGUCAGCUUUGAGGAGGAUAAGAAGAAGCAAUUAAAUGUGCAAGGGGUGUUUGAGGCGGAAAUCCUGGGCAGGGUACAGGAGGAGGAAGCAGGAGAAAGUGGGGAGAGAAUUUCCGACACCUGUGAAAGGAAAGGGGCUGGGGCUGGAGGAGUCUCAGACAGCAGUGCAGAUAUAGGAAAGAUUUGGCCCCACCGAUGAGGAAUUGUGGAGCCGAAGUGGACCCCUGGAGAAGGGAGCAACUCACAGAAGUCUGGUCCUCAGGUGAACAUGGUGGUGAAUCCAGAGGACAGCAUCUGGGUCCCUUGUGCCCCCCAUAGCUGGAGACCUUAGCAGCACAUUUCGUAGCUGCUGCACACAUCAUCUCCCACUUACUCGUGGAAAAGGAGCCUGAGUGUUUUCUCCUAUUCAUUUAUCUGGUUAACCAACACCUGGUCAGUACAACACAGAGAAGGAUUAAAAUGAUCCACACCUGCCCGUGAAAUAUACUUGGUCAACUCAUGAUUUUCUUGCCUCAGUGCCAAGCCAAACACAUUCCUUACUUUAAAGAGUUUAUCUUGAUCACAAUUCUUUACUAACUUUUAGCUCUAAUUUUGGGUUUCAAAAGGUUUGCAUUUCAGGCAGAGAGUGAAGUGCAAUUGACACUUUCAUGCAAAUUGAAUCUAACAAAGAGCCUCAAAUGUCAAUCCGCAGAUGUGUUUGGCUCACACCAUUUAAAAAAAAAAAAAUUGAGCCAAUCUUUUAAAAUUGGGAAAUGUCAUAUUUAAAAAAACAAAAAUUGUUGAUUUUAGGCUUCUCUUGAAAAACCACAGAUCUGGAUCACUGAGCCUGAAUAUCUGCGUGACAGUAUUAUCUAGGCUGAAAGUGUCUGCCCCUUGAAGUGGGGCUCUCCUCACUUUUUUUUCUUUUUUAGGUGGCCGCACCUGCUGCGUAUGGAAGUUACUGAGCUAGGGGUUGAGCCACAGCCACUGUGGAAGCAACGCCAAGUAGUUAUGUUGUGAGCCACAUGGGAAGUCCUGGGGCUCUCCUCUUUGAUUUGGGAGUUACCACGCACAUAAAAUAUGCAUAAGCCCUUAUACUCAGCCGGCUUCACUGAUUUAUAGUCCUGUCUGAGCCUUUGUGCAGAGAAUGCUAACCGUGCCUCAAUAUUACAUUCUCCCCUUCUUCUUUGGUAAUGUUCCAGCUGGACUCAGGGCAGCCCAUCUAGGACUACAUUUCCCAGCCUCCCUCGCAGCUAGGUGUGAUCAUGUGACUAAGUUCAAACCAAUGGUAGGAAAAUGGAAUUGAGGUUUAGAACUUCCAGACUGCCUUGAAAGGAAAGCAGUUUCUUUUCUUCUUUUCAGCUGGAAAGUGGAUAUGAUGGCGGGAGCUGAAGCAGCCAUCUGACAUCACAGGAUGGAAGCUAUGUUUCCAGAAUAGCAGAGCAAAUAAGAGGAAACUGGGUCUCCAGCAUCAAGGAGUUACAUACCAACUCUGGAAAACCGAUGCUCAGACUUGUAUCAGGAAAAUUAACUUCCCAUUCUCAUGUCUCUUUUUUUCAGCAGCCUCAAUUGUAUCUUUUUUCUUUCUUUCUUUCUUUUCAGGGCUGUACCUGCAGCAUAUGGAAGUUCCAAGGCUAGGAGUCGAAUGGGAGCUUCAACUGCCAGCCUCAGCCAUAGCCACAGCAAUGCCAGAUCCUAGACAAGUCUGAGAUGUACACUGCAGCACACAGCAAUGCUGAAUCCUUAACCCACUGCCUGGGGCCAGGGUUCAAACCAGCAUCCUCAUGGAUACUAGUCGGAUUCAUUACUGCUGAGCCAUAACAGGAAUUCCUCAACUGUAUCUUAACUAAUAAAUCCCUAUUUGCAACUGAGUCUGUGGCCCUUGGCUUAAUUGGAAUUGAAGUAUAAAGGAAAAACAAUUUAUAAUUUGCAAGUUAUUUUUCCACGUAAACGGGACCUAUGUGGCCAGCAUCAAAUGGCAAAGCAAAUUGCACUGACAACUGAGAGGAGGCAUAAUUGUCAUUAUAGUUAAAGCAGUAUUGGAAGACCCUGGCCAUAUCUCUCAGGCUCUGUUUGUAGGUGGUGCAAUUUUCUGGCUGUGGAUGGUUUGUCUACGUGACUCCUGAGGGGCUGCUAUUGCCACAGCAACAUGUCUGGGGUCCACAGGCCACACUCUCUUCUCUUCUUCAUCUUUGAAGGCCACACUUAAGCAGGCAGCCCUCCCACGUUUUCUCGGCACUGACCACUGAGUUGAAGAGAAGUAGAAACUUCUCGGUUGGUAUUGUUCUGACUCCUAGGGGUCCAAGAGAGGCUCCCUGGUACUGAGCAUGAAACAAUUGGGGAUCCUCACAGUUUCAAUCUGAUCAGAACCCGCUGUACUAGAGGAGGGUAAAGGUCAGUUAUGAAAAUGAUCUAUGAUAAAAAAAGAACCUACUAAUUCCCCAGAGGCAGGUGCCAAAAAUGACAUGUUAUUGUGUUCUUUAGAAUGAUGAAGGAGAGUAUUGAAUGAGAUUUGGGUAAUAAUAAUGCCAAACUGUUUAGCUUGCCUGUGACAGAGCUCCCCAAACCAGUACUAUUUGGGGAAAUAGCAGGAGAACAGAAAAAACAAUUAAUGAGCACUUGAUGUGCCAUAAAUGUUAUGUAUGUUUUCUCAUGUAAUUAUCUCAAAAAUCCUAUGAGAUAGUAUAACUGCUUUUUUUUUUAAUUUUCUUAAAGCAGACAUGCUAAGAAAAGUUAAUGUGACAAAGAUCACACAGGAAGUAAAAAGCCUGGAUUUGGACACUCGAGUGACUGAUCUACAUUCCAUAUCAUGCAGUCUCAUGGAUGUGCUAAGGCUGGCCUGAUCAGAAGAAGGAGGCAUGGACAAAACUGCAGAGAAUAGAGGUAUCUGGGUGAGGAUGGCAGCCAGUAAUAGAUUCAGGAAAACAAGAAAAGAAAGUGGGAGAGAGACAUGUUGAAAAGACUGUACACCUGCAUGAGAUCAUCUUAAGGCCCCUACACGGUACAGAUCAAGAUGCAUGCAACUCUCUGGUCCCUGAGGAAGAAGGGAUUCUGGAAGAGCAAGGUGGUAGAUACACAUGGGGAGGGAUUACCCGGCAGCGAGAUGAGAUAAAUCUGAAAAGAUAAAUUUUACUAUGCUCUUUACAUUGAAGGAUAUUGCUGAUUAAUUGAUGGGUAUGAUUUGGAGUAGAGAAGGAAUUACAAAUUAAUACUUUGCCAGACAGAGGCGUUACCUUUUCUGCUUAUUUAAAUAAAUAUGCUUUUGCCAUUUCUGGAAAGUUUUUCUUUGAUAUGUAUAACCAGGUUAUUCUUUUAGAUAGAUGACUCUGUCCAUCCAUACUGUUCUGCAAGAUCAAAGGGAAAACAAUCCCCAAAGCUAUGUUCUGAGACAAGUAAUGCCAUCAAGCAUCAAGCAGGAUUGUAUCAACUUUCCUUUUUUAAAUUAUCUCUUAGCGUCUGCCUCUUCAGAGAAAAGUUCAUCUUUAUUUUCAUUUCGUGGUAAAAUAUUUUCUAACAGCAUCAGUGAAACCCCAUUCAAAGUCAAUGACCAGCUUUUGAGACAUAAGACACGUGCCAAGUCUGUUUGGCACAAAGUAACUACUAACAGAUUUAAUAUAUUUCUUUCUUGCUCAGCCAUUGACAGGUGUCUGACAGCUCCCCACUCCCUCAGCCUCAAGUCAAUUAGUAAGAUGGAUAAAAUCCUCAGAAAGGGGGAAGUUAUCUAAGAUGUAGCUGUUUACGCUUCAUUGGUGGUGGGCAGACAGGCUGAGGUCCGAGAUAUCUCCAUUGAGGCUGUCACGAAACGUCCUCUUCCUGGGGUCAAUUGAGUUCUUUCUACAGAAUGAGUCUCAGAUGACUGAAUGCCACUCUCCAGACAGGAGCGGGGAAGGAUACAAAACAGAAAUAUUGAAGUGAAAAAAUGCAUCAAAUACACCUAAUCUUUUUCUUUAUUUAAUUAUUUUUAUUUUUUCCAUUAUCGCUGGUUUACAGUGUUCUGUCAGUUUCCACUGUACACCAAAGUGACCCAGUCACACACAUAUAUACACUCUUUGUCUCACAUUAUCCUCCAUCCUGUUCCAUCAUAAGUGACUGGGUAUAGUUGCCUGUGCUAUACAGCAGGAUCUCAUUGCUUAUCCCCUCCAGUUGCUAUAGUUUGCAGCUAUUAAUCCCAGACUCUCAGUCCAUCCCACUCCCUCCUCCUCGGCAACCACAAGUCUGUUCUCCAAGUCCAUGAGUUUCUUUUCUGUGGAAAGAUUCAUUUGUGCUGAAAUACACCUAAUCGUAGUUUAGCCUAGCCUAUCUUAAAAGUGCUCGGAACCCUUAUAUUAGCCUGGAGUAGGGCAAAAUCAUCUAACACAAAGCCUACUUUAUAAUAAAAGUGCUGAAUAUCUCAUGUAAUUGAAUACUGCACUGAAAGUGAAAAGCAGAAUGGCUGUACUAGGUACAGAGCAAUUACCAGCAUCAUGAGAGACGAGUGGACCACAUAUCAUGAGCCUGGAAAAGAUCAAAAUUCAAAAUUUGAAAUUACAGUUUCUACUGGAUGGGUAUCACUUUUGCAACACUGCAAAGUCGAAAAAUCAUAACUUGAACCAUCAUAAGUCCAAGACGGUCUGCAGUUGGGAGCUGGAAAAUACGUUGCCUCCCCAAAGCUCUCUGUCUUACGUCUCCCGCCUGCCUUGCACUGGAUGAAAAACAGAAAUGCAGCCCUCGGUGCCAUGGACAAUGGUUCCCCAUCGCUGUGACCCUGGCCUUGUGGGAAGGAAGUGAAAAUAAUUUGGGCAAAAACAUGUCCUGUCUGUCCUGUCCGUUCUUCCUGUGGGGCCCCCCCGGGUAGAAGCAAAGGGUUUUGCAUGUCAGGCUAGAAUAUUAGGGAAAGAGGAAACAGUGUCUAAAGUGAGAUUGGGGGGUCAGAGAUAGUUCAAAAUGUAACGAUUUCCUUUUGCUUUAGGAACUGCUCUUUUCCUCUCCCCUUUCUUUUCUUUUCUUUUUUAAAGUGAAGUUUCCAAGGAGAAAAGGCAGUAUUUGCCAAAUGCUACAAUGUACUUUGCACUGAUUGGGCUCAGGACAUGAAGGCCCAGCUUUACUCUGGCAGUAAUUUAAAAUAAUAAUAGUGGUAGGGUACUUUACCACUAGGCUUUAGGUUGCUCGUUUAACGCUGCAAUAACCCUGUGAGAUGGGAAUUGUCAUCCUCUCUGCUGGGUGAGGAAGUGGAAGCUCAGAAAGGAUGAACGGCUUGUCCUCGGUGACUCGGCUGGUAAGUGGCAGAGUCUGGGUUUUCUCUUUCUACCACGCCUGUCCCUGUAAUUCUCAGGUGUGAGCAGUCACUUUAGAUACAUUUAAGGUUUUUAUUAGCAGUGAUCCUCCUGACUCCGUGUUAUUGGCGUGAAAUACACGCUACUCUGCUUCCCACAGGGGUGUGGUUAAGCUCCCCAGAAGCUUUGGUUCUUCCUCUCUCCUGGUGCAUCCAGAACUACCAACAGCUGGAUUUCUUUGUCAUCACUUUAUUUUUUUUUUCCUUUUUAGGGGUGCCCCCCGGUGCAUAUGGAGGUUCCCAGGCUAGGGGUCGAAUCAGAGCAACAGCUGCUGGCCUCCAAUACAGCCACAGCAACAUGGGAUCCGAGCCGCAUCUGUGACCUACACCACAAAUCAUGAGAACGCCGGAUCCUUAACCGACUGAGCAGGGCCAGGGAUAGAACCUGCAUCCUCAAGGAUCCUAGUCGGGUUUGUUAACUGCUGAGCUACGGAGGAACGCCUGUCAUCACUUUAGAAGUGAUAAAAUUCCUCAAAGGGAAUUUUAUUCCCGGUGUGGAGUUGGCAGCCUUUAUUCAUAGGAAUGCAUUGCGGGGUGUUCGGUUUUGGUGAGAGAGAGACAUUGUAAAAAUUGAAGACAAAGAAGAAAUGGAGGAAGUGAGGCUGGAGGGGAAAGGUUCAUGUAGGUUGGGAGUCUUGGCUCUUCUUUAGCCACAGGCUCUUUAGCUUUAGGGGUCUCUGCCUU
rnacentral:lncRNA from 1 species